rnacentral:rRNA from 1 species
UACGGAGGGUGCGAGCGUUGUCCGGAAUCACUGGGCGUAAAGGGCGCGUAGGCGGCGCGGGGAGCAUCGACGAUGACGUCGGCGCUCAACGCCGAGUCGGCCGUCGAUACUCCCGUGCUUGAGCACUGUAGAGGCAGGUGGAAUUCCGGGUGUAGCGGUGGAAUGCGUAGAGAUCCGGAAGAACACCGGUGGCGAAGGCGGCCUGCUGGGCAGUAGCUGACGCUGAGGCGCGACAGCGUGGGGAGCAAACAGG